UGCUGCAUGGUUGUCGUCAGCUCGUGCCGUGAGGUGUCGGGUUAAGUCCCAUAACGAGCGCAACCCUUAUCGUUAGUUGCCAGCGGGUAAAGCCGGGAACUCUAGCGAAACUGCCGGUGUAAACCGAGAGGAAGGUGGGGAUGACGUCAAAUCAGCACGGCCCUUAUGUCCAGGGCUACACACGUGUUACAAUGGCCGGUACAGAGGGCAGCUACCUGGAGACAGGAUGCGAAUCUCGAAAGCCGGUCUCAGUUCGGAUCGGAGUCUGCAACUCGACUCCGUGAAGCUGGAUUCGCUAGUAAUCGCGCAUCAGCCAUGGCGCGGUGAAUACGUUCCCGGGCCUU
rnacentral:rRNA from 1 species